UUUAACAUUGUCCUCAUUAUGGAAGAUAAGCUGAAUAUUUUCUGAUUCCUGCUUUUGCAUUAGUUGGCGCUAUAAUGGAUACUAAAAUUUUAAUUACUUUUUAACACAGUUGAGUUACAAAAAGUUCACCAAGGAAGUCUGCACCACAGAACUGAGUUCUACUAAAGCCAUAUAUGUUCAUUAUAUGCUCUCUUCCUUGUGCUCACAGGGCCUGUUACUGUGGAAGAUGAGCAGGCAUGGAUGCAUCUUAUAAAUACGUAGGUGCUACCACGAAUAUCCAUCCAUAUUUAUCUACCAUGAUCAACUAUGCACAGCCUGUAAAGUUUCAAGGUUUCCAUGUGGCUGAAGAACGUAACAUUCAUUAUAACAUGUCUUCUUUAAUGAAUCCGUUGGUCUUGGCUACUUGAAGACACAUGCAAUUGAAUUUGUAAAUUAUAACAAACGGCAGAUGAGUCGCAUUUACCCAAGGAGGCCGAGUUGAUUCCAGUAAUUAUAUGCCUCAGAUUUUCUGGAACGCUGGCUGCCAGAUGGUUUCACUGAACUAUCAAACCCCAGACUUAGCAAUGCAAUUGAAUCAGGGAAAUUUGAGUAUAAUGGAUCAUGCGGGUACCUUCUCAAAACCAGAUUUCAUGAGGCGGCCUGACCGGACAUUUGAUCCCUUCUCUGAAACCCCUGUUGAUGGGGUUAUUGCAGCCACUUGCUCAGUGCAGGU